rnacentral:siRNA from 1 species
AAGAGAAUGUGUGCCAAAUUGCAAGC